AGCCACAAUCCAGGGCCCUCCCAAAGCCUGAAUACAGAGUCAUGUGAGAAAAAGCCACUGUCAAGGGCAGAGCUCUCCAGGUGUGACAGGACCCAACCUAAUGGCAGGAGGAAACCCAGGAAGCAGGUGAUAAGCCUAAUGAAGACAUCCAUGGUGCCAAGCUGCUCCUGUCGUGGCUUGGAUUGGAUCUGGGCACAGGGAGCCUCCAGGCUGGGCCUGUCAAAGCCCUUAGCAGCCCCCACGUCAAGAACAAUAUGACCACACAAACUAUACCACCAACCACAGCCAGGCGGAGCCCAAGGUUAGCUAUACUACCUCACUUUUGUUUUUGGUGAGAACCCAUAAAAUACACUAUCAUAG
rnacentral:lncRNA from 1 species